rnacentral:rRNA from 1 species
AGCGAACGCUGGCGGCAGGCUUAACACAUGCAAGUCGAGCGGGCAUCCUUGUGGUGUCAGCGGCAGACGGGUGAGUAACGCGUGGGAACGUGCCCUUCGGUUCGGAAUAACUCAGGGAAACUUGAGCUAAUACCGGAUACGUGCGAGAGCAGAAAGGUUUAUCUGCCGAAGGAUCGGCCCGCGUCUGAUUAGCUAGUUGGUGAGGUUAUGGCUCACCAAGGCGACGAUCAGUAGCUGGUCUGAGAGGAUGAUCAGCCACACUGGGACUGAGACACGGCCCAGACUCCUACGGGAGGCAGCAGUGGGGAAUAUUGGACAAUGGGGGCAACCCUGAUCCAGCCAUGCCGCGUGAGUGAUGACGGCCUUAGGGUUGUAAAGCUCCUUUCUCCGGGACGAUAAUGACGGUACCGGAGGAAUAAGCCCCGGCUAACUUCGUG